GGAGAAACUGCAGCUUAGUGCUAGAGUGUUUGCGUUGUGCGCAAAAGGUUCCAGGUUCAAUCCCCGUUAUCUUCA